UACGUAGGCAGCGAGCGUUGUUCGGAGUUACUGGGCGUAAAGGGUGUGUAGGCGGUUGUUUUAAGUUUGGUGUGAAAUCUCCCGGCUCAACUGGGAGGGUGCGCCGAAUACUGAAUGACUAGAGUGCGGGAGAGGAAAGUGGAAUUCCUGGUGUAGCGGUGAAAUGCGUAGAUAUCAGGAGGAACACCGGUGGUGUAGACGGCUUUCUGGACCGUAACUGACGCCUGAGACACGAAAGCGUGGGUAGCAAACAGG
rnacentral:rRNA from 1 species